rnacentral:rRNA from 1 species
GUGGGGAAUAUUGGACAAUGGGGGGAACCCUGAUCCAGCCAUGCCGCGUGUGUGAAGAAGGCCUUUUGGUUGUAAAGCACUUUAAGUGGGGAGGAGGCUUACCUAGUUAAUACCUGGGCUAAGUGGACGUUACCCACAGAAUAAGCACCGGCUAACUCUGUGCCAGCAGCCGCGGUAAUACAGAGGGUGCAAGCGUUAAUCGGAUUUACUGGGCGUAAAGCGCGCGUAGGUGGCCAAUUAAGUCAAAUGUGAAAUCCCCGAGCUUAACUUGGGAAUUGCAUUCGAUACUGGUUGGCUAGAGUAUGGGAGAGGAUGGUAGAAUUCCAGGUGGAGCGGUGAAAUGCGUAGAGAUCUGGAGGAAUACCGAUGGCGAAGGCAGCCAUCUGGCCUAAUACUGACACUGAGGUGCGAAAGCAUGGGGAGCAAACAGGAUUAGAAACCCGAGUAGUCC